rnacentral:tRNA from 1 species
AGUAAAAUGGCUGAGAUUUUAAGCGAUAAAUUGUAAAUUUAUUAACGAAAAGUAAUUUUCUUUUACUA